rnacentral:rRNA from 1 species
UACAGAGGGUGCAAGCGUUGUUCGGAAUUAUUGGGCGUAAAGAGUGUGUAGGCGGUGCUCUAAGUUCGGUGUGAAAUCUCCCGGCUUAACUGGGAGGGUGCGCCGGAAACUGGAGUGCUUGAGCGCGGGAGAGGAAAGCGGAAUUCCUGGUGUAGCGGUGAAAUGCGUAGAUAUCAGGAGGAACACCUGUGGUGUAGACGGCUUUCUGGACCGUAGCUGACGCUGAGACACGAAAAGCGUGGGUAGCAAACAGG